rnacentral:rRNA from 1 species
AAAAGAUGGUUCUGCUAUCACUCUUGGAUGGACCUGCGGUGCAUUAGCUAGUUGGUAAGGUAACGGCUUACCAAGGCAAUGAUGCAUAGCCGAGUUGAGAGACUGAUCGGCCACAUUGGGACUGAGACACGGCCCAAACUCCUACGGGAGGCAGCAGUAGGGAAUCUUCCACAAUGGACGCAAGUCUGAUGGAGCAACGCCGCGUGAGUGAAGAAGGGUUUCGGCUCGUAAAGCUCUGUUGGUAGUGAAGAAAGAUAGAGGUAGUAACUGGCCUUUAUUUGACGGUAAUUACCUAGAAAGUCACGGCUAACUACGUGCCAGCAGCCGCGGUAAUACGUAGGUGGCAAGCGUUGUCCGGAUUUAUUGGGCGUAAAGCGAGUGCAGGCGGUUCAAUAAGUCUGAUGUGAAAGCCUUCGGCCCAACCGGAGAAUUGCAUCAGAAACUGUUGAACUUGAGUGCAGAAGAGGAGAGUGGAACUCCAUGUGUAGCGGUGGAAUGCGUAGAUAUAUGGAAGAACACCAGUGGCGAAGGCGGCUCUCUGGUCUGCAACUGACGCUGAGGCUCGAAAGCAUGGAUAGCGAACAGGAUUAGAUACCCUGGUAGUCCAUGCCGU